rnacentral:tRNA from 1 species
UAGAGAUUAGUUUAUUAAGAACGUUAGUUUGUGGGGCUAAAAGAAACUUAGCUUAUCUUUAA